rnacentral:rRNA from 1 species
UACAGAGGGUGCGAGCGUUAUUCGGAAUUACUGGGCGUAAAGCGUGCGCAGACGGUUGCGUAAGUCAGAUGUGAAAGCCCCGGGCUCAACCUGGGAAUUGCAUUUGAGACUGCGUAGCUAGGGUGCGGAAGAGGGAAGCGGAAUUUCCGGUGUAGCGGUGAAAUGCGUAGAUAUCGGAAGGAACACCAGUGGCGAAAGCGGCUUCCUGGUCCAGCACCGACGUUCAGGCACGAAAGCGUGGGGAGCAAACAGG